rnacentral:ncRNA from 2 species
CCCGUACGCUAGGGGAGCCCCGAAGGGGCUGAGAGUCCGCGGAUGCGGACAACCCUUUGAACCUGAUCUGGAUCAUGCCAGCGAAGGGAAGCGGUCGGUGUCGACG